AUUCUAUUAACAACUUGUAUUAUACGGUCACAUUAUUAGGCCUACAUGCAUUGGACCUAAGGUCUGGAUAGAUCAGACCUUUUUUUAUGUAGACGGGUAGGUUAUUGAUUUUGAACGAUUAUUGUUAGUGGUAGCGCAGAAGUCGUAUAGGCAAAAUCCUAAUAAUUUUCAGUAGUAUUCUAUACCCUGUCUUAUGUGAACUAGAGAAAUCACAGCAAAGCCAUGCGCCACACUGUGUUAACACGAUCAGAACACGAAGACCCAGCGUCCACCGCAGUGAGGUCCUUAGGCUUACGCCAUCUCUCUGCUCCACCAACAGGUGGCACGUGAACUCUACUAGACGGUUGCCAUGGCUGCCUUCCUAAUCAGCCUGGACAUGCUACUACACAUUUGGAUGUGUAACUGUUAGAGACAUGUUCCUGUUAGUAGAUAGUGGUCCUGUGGGUCUGUACUUGUGUAAGGUUCCUUGUUUUGGUUUCCACGGCAACAACGCACGUAUUGUCCACUUUGGCACAGUUGUACCUCUACCAUUGUGUAUUGUUGUCUGCUGUGUAAGGUUAUGUUUGUUGCAUUUUGCCUUUUGCCAAGGACAGCAUCAUCAUGCAAUUUGUUCUCUUUUUCUAUUUGUCUAGUAGAGUCAAAGAGUUCACGCAAGCCAAUAAGGAGUGAAGAAUGUGGGAGUAAUCAUGCCCUAGCCUUCAACGCGGGGCCUUUCCCCCAUCGCGAGCUUGUGCCAGAGCCACUCGGUCACCCCAGACAGGAAGGCAAGAAUACGCCCUAUACAAACACACACGUUAACACCCGAGUGUUAAGAGUUUAUCCACACAGAUCUGCAGCGACUAGGGCCUGGGAGUGCAAGGACACUAUAACAAGGGAUCUUUAGCACACACAGCAAUACCAGAUAGCUUGUUAAAAUGCUGUGUAUCCCAUGCCACAAAACUAUUUGGCACUGUCAUGGUAAAUUGGAUCAAAAUGCCUAUUCCCAGUCAUCUUGGUAUAGCCGUUGUCCCUUUAGGCUCUUGAACUGGGUGGGGGGGCUCUCAACUGCUGAAUCAUGGUCACACCACAGCAACGUCACCGCCACAGCCAGUAAGACAAAUCUUUCAAAACGAUGUGUGUUCCCUUCCAAAGAAUAAUAACAAAAUACUGUGGAUGUCAAACUAGACACUGCAUCAAUGUGGGGCCCAACAUGUGGGGCCUAACACCUAAAGGUUCUACUGUCCAGUGACACUCAUUUUAACACCGGCUGAACACACAGAGUGCCCCCAUCUCCCUGAUGAUAGGGUUAAGGCUCUGCCGGGUCUAUAUUUAGCCCGUCCUGUGACUCUGAGUAACACAGCAAGCCGCGCUAGGUGGAUUCCAAUGUGCCCAGCUCCAGGACAACUCAACCAGCACCUGCUGCUGGAGCUAACUGACAGGCCGUCUUCUCAGCUCCCACUGGGCCCGGACUGAAAAGCCCCGGGCCAAACCUCCAGAGGGGAGACAAGAAGUUCUUUGGUUUCAGGUUUUGGCAGAAAAGGAUUUGACUGGAGUGGUGGUUGAUGUGUGAAGAACCUUCCGCUGGCUGUGCUGCAGGAUCUGGUCAGGAGGGUUUGGCCGUUCUCCUCUCAACUGACGUGGGGGGGGGGUCUCAUCGAAGAUGCGGUUUACAAGUAAACAUCUACUGAAUCAAGCUUUGAACCCCAAAGUACUGUUAUUAAGAAUGUGACUUGGAUAGUAAAGACAGAAUUAAGAGAGAGCUUUGUGAUAGCACAGCCAUUUCAGAAAUAACAUCGCCAUGGAAUAUUAAGAUGGGACUUGUACAGCAACUCACGACAUCAGAGAUUCGACUAGCUCCCAUUGGACAGUUCCUAUUGCCCCGUGUUCAUUAAGUUAGUUUGGCGCAGUCGGAAAACCAAAAGUGCUACCGUCCCCCCAGCUUCAACCUCUAGCAUCUUACCCGCUAACACCACCGUCACCUCAAGAAAGAGAUGUUGCUCUACUGCCCGACCGCUGUAUAACCUCCCUGACAGAGGGUGGGGACACAGCACACAUAAGGCAGGUAAAACGUCGGAUGGAACUUCUGCGCCCAAGAAACGGGAUAACUCAGGUGUCCCUGUGGCUGCCACCCCGACCGAAAUGUACACCGAUGAGGGGGCCCCGCACCCCUCAACCCAGAUUCACCUACGGCACUAUUUUGAUCACCCCCCAAGUGAAACCUGUACAACCAGGACACGGGACGGGAACACGCGGGCGUAUCCAAGGUAUCCAAAACACACGGUGGGAAGCACAGAGAGGGUCCCGGUAUGUGUGGCCCUGAAAGUAAACUCCUCAGCAGACACCCACUAGAGGGGGAGGGGCGGGACGGAGCAGGGGCCGGCUGUAGAGACGAG